rnacentral:rRNA from 1 species
AUUGAACGCUGGCGGCAGGCCUAACACAUGCAAGUCGAACGAGUGGCGGACGGGUGAGUAAUGUCUGGGAAACUGCCUGAUGGAGGGGGAUAUCUACUGGAAACGGUAGCUAAUACCGCAUACCAUCAGAUGUGCCCAUAUGGGAUUAGCUAGUUGGUGGGGUAACGGCUCACCAAGGCGACGAUCCCUAGCUGGUCUGAGAGGAUGACCAACCACACUGGAACUGAGACACAGGACAGACGCCAACGGUAGGCAGAAGUGGGGAAUAUUGCACAAUGGGCGCAAGCCAGAUGCAGCCAUGCCGCGUGUAUGAAGAAGGCCUUAGGGUUGUAAAGUACUUUCAGCGAGGAGGGGUUACCCGCAGAAGAAGCACCGGCUAACUCCGUGCCAGCAGCCGCGGUAAUAC